UGCGUUCUAGGUAAACUCGCUACCAACCAAGCCACCUACCCAGUAAUAUUUAUAUCCUUUUAUGUCUUUUAAAAAGAUUUAUAACACUGGUUGUUCUGUCUGUUUCAGCUUCAAUUGUCCUAAAAAGAAACAGAAAAGGAAAGUAUUAUACAUCUACAUAGAUAUGGACACCUACAGAGUGGGUCCUUCUGUGUGUUGCAGUCUUGUGGCAUUCUGCAGGCACCCUGCCCGUGACCCCAGGCUUUUUAUGGCUGUGAGACUUACUAAAAGCUCAGGGUAAGUGACCAAUGUCUGUGUCACCAAGGGGUGGAAAGAAAAUUAUGGGCCACUGGCCCUAGGAUCAGGCGAGAGUUCCAAAGAUGACAGACACAUGUAUGCUGCCACUUUCUGUGACAAUUGUAUGACUUUUCCACAUAGGUACCUUCCGGGCUGGGUGGUGGCUCGGUGGUUAAAGUGCUUGCCUUGCCAGCAUGAUGGCCUGAGAUCAGUUUAAUGCAAAACAAAACAAAACAAAAAAAGCUUGAAGCACUGAGGAAGUCGAGACAGAUCAAUCUAACGGCUUGCUGUCCAGUCAGUCUGACCUAUCUAGUGAGUUCUAGGUCCCAGUGACAGACCCUGCCUCACAAAACAAGGUGAAUGGCUCCUGAGGAAUGAUACUCUUGGCCUCCACACAUGUCUAUAUAUAUGCAUAUGUCCCUCUGCAAGCAUGAACAUUCCUGCAUAUACACAUUCACACCCCAAACAGAAUGAACUAAAAGAAAUCCCAUUUGUACCAGGUCAUGGGUCAUAGUUUCAAUAAUAUGUCCAAAUACAAAGUUGGCUCAAAUUGUUCCCAAAGGGCCAGAGAGUGACUCUAGUUACCCUUCUGAGCCACAGACAUUGUCUGUUGUGGUUAGGCACUUCUGCUGUUGGUUAACAGAAUUAACCAUGGGUACUUGAAAAAAAAAAAAAAAAUGAGUGGCAUUACUAUGUCCCUCUAAACAUUGUAUACCCAAAUAAUCAUUGUGCUAUAUUGACCCAAGGGCUUUGGUUUCCUCCCCCAUCUGCUGACACAUCGAGGUUGGGGUGCCAUCCAUGAACUUGACAGCUCACAGGUUACUAGUCUCUCUUGACCCUGCACAAAUGAUGAAUGAGGAAGAAACAGGCAUUUGAAAUACAUGCUCUUCCAGCCUGGCAGGAGACUGCCAGGCCGAAGCAUGGUGGACUGUAUGUGAAUGGUUUCUUCCAUGUGAUGGGAAAGCUCUUCCAUCCCUCUCACUCCCCAGUCACCUUCGCUUUCAUUAGCUAACCCAGGGGUGGUGGGAUGCUCUUUUAUUUGUGUGAGUCAUGUGGUCUCUGAGCUCGGUCUGUGUUACACUUGAUGGACACGCUGUUGAAAUAUCUCUUUAGUAUCAUAUAUGGAUGAAGGGAUACACGGGUAGAUUAUGGCAGGCUAAAGAUCAAAUGCCAAUGAAGAACGAUUAAAUUUCCUUUAAUCAUCAGAAUCUGAGAGGGCUUUAAGAUCUUCCACCUUUAAUAUAGGCCUUAAUAAAUAAUACUGCUUUGAAUGUCUGCGUAUGUUU
rnacentral:lncRNA from 1 species